UGUUUAAGGGAUUUUUUCAUGAUUUUCUCUUGGCAUUAUAAUAACGACGAUAAUAACGUCUCGCGGAACACUCCUUGACUAAAGCUGAACUCUUGUUACAAUUGUUAUAAGGCCUAAAGCUGAUAAGGUGACAUAUACCGUGGUAAACGACACCGACCUUAGCCGAGUGCUUGACGAACUAUACCGAAAUGCGAGCGAACAACUACAGCACCUCGCCGUUUUGCCUCGGGAAAUGAAGCGAAUACUCUGGUUCGCUCUGGUUGUAAAGGCUUUCUAAAUUCCUUGAAUGGAUAUAGACACAAGAUUUAGAAGCACAAAGCCCUAAAAUUCACAGGUUCCGUGGUUCAGCGAACAAGUAUAAAAGCAAGCCAGGUAAUCGCUAAGAGACGCGGUCAUUUGGCUCAGAGCAACAACACACCGGGAAACGGAGAAAGCACGGCACGCGUUACUUUACUUAAGUCAAAUUCACUUAUCGACAAAACCUUCAAUCGCGCAAUAGAAUAAAAAGCCUUAUAUCUCCUCAUUAUUAUAAUCAGGUGGUUUGAACUAUUAUGACCACCGACUAACAACCAGUUAUGAACUGAAAUUCAGCCCGGAACACAUAGUAAAGUUCAGUUAAAAACUUGUACCGAAAGUUUGUCUUCAGCAGGUGCAAUACGGUUGUUUUGUCUGUUUUAUCUCAACGCGACAUGGCGGCUAUGACCGUGUCAAGAGCUUCGUUUGGUGGUAUUUCUCUUCGAUAGCUCGAACAUUUGUUCUCGGAUUGCUCGCUAUAUAUCUUAUCGAUACUCAAGUGCGCAAAUCGCCAAUAUGGAGAAAGGAACGUAAAAAUCGUGAAUGUCAUUGCAUAAGAAAUCUUGGGAAUAGACACAAGAAACAUAUUUGUCAGCAAAACUAUAAUUCUGCUAUCAACACCUCAAUGAAAUGCAUAACGUGGGCCAUUAUCCCAGCACUGGAUAUCUCUGCUUCACGACUUGCAACACUGGUAUUAUUUUAUUUGUGAAUAAGGCACUCAUUUUAAGAGUGAUGUGAAGAUCCAGCUUUACCACAUUGGCCUAGGAAGGGUGCCAUCUUAUACUUAUAAUGCCCUGAACAUGCUCAACGGAUAAAGAUAAAGAUAUUCACAGGGGGUUCCGGUGGUAAAAAGUAUCGAGUAGUUUUGAUUUCAAGAGUUGUGAAAAAAAUGACACGUUUCGGGAGUGGUAUAAUGCCUUUGCUCACCGUGUGUAUAAUUGAACCUUAGCAAACGUCGGUUAAACUGAGGUUUUGCUAAAGUAAUACAAUUCAGCGUCUGUGUUACGUGGUAAAGUUAUACGUUCG